UACGUAGGGCGCAAGCGUUGUCCGGAAUUAUUGGGCGUAAAGAGCUCGUAGGCGGUUUGUCGCGUCUGCUGUGAAAACCUGAGGCUCAACCUCGGGCUUGCAGUGGGUACGGGCAGACUAGAGUGCGGUAGGGGUGACUGGAAUUCCUGGUGUAGCGGUGGAAUGCGCAGAUAUCAGGAGGAACACCGAUGGCGAAGGCAGGUCACUGGGCCGCAACUGACGCUGAGGAGCGAAAGCAUGGGGAGCGAAUGGG
rnacentral:rRNA from 1 species